CUCAUCUUCGGUCUCUGGGUUUCCUUUUUUCUGCCCCUGAGGUUCCGCGUGUUUAUAAAGCACAGAGGUUGCGUCACGGAGACGCACCUCAGCUCCUCUAUAAAAGGGCUGAGACUCUCUUUCCUCCUUACGCAUCUGCUGUCUCCUGAUCCGGUAAGGUUUUCUUCUGAUUGCCCAUUAGAUCUGGUCCCGCUCCGAUCUUCUAGAGAUUGGAGGCGGUCUUCAUUCUCUCUGAACGGAAGAGUGCAUAAAAUAGGGCUCUUCUGCUUCCGAGUCUUCUCUCUUGUGGCGAUUUAGAGGUUGCGUCACGGAGACGCAGCUCAGCUCCUCUAUAAAAGCGCUGAGACUCUCUUCCCUCCUUCCGCCUCUGCCGUCUCCUGAUCCGGUAAGGUUUUGUUUUCGAUUGCCCAUUAGAUCUGGUCCCGCUCCGAUCUUCUAGAGAUUGGAGGCGGUCUUCAUUCUCUCUGAACAGAAGAGUGCAGAAAAUAGGGCUCUUCUACUUCUGAGUCUUCUCUUUCGCGGCGAUUUAGAGGUUGCGUCGCGGAGAGGCAGCUCAGCUCCUCUAUAAAAGCGCUGAGACUCUCUUUCCUCCUUCCGCCUCUUCUGUCUCCUGAUCCGGUAAGGUUUUCUUUCGAUUGCCCAUUAGAUCUGGUCCCGCUCCGAUCUUCUAGAGAUUGGAGGCGGUCUUCGUUCUCUCUGAAGGGAAGAGUGCAGAAAAUGGGGCUCUUCUACUUCCGAGUCUUCUCUCUUGCGGCGAUUUAGAGGUUGCGUCACGGAGACGCAGCUCAGCUCCUCUAUAAAAGCGCUGAGACUCUCUUUCCUCCUUCCGCCUCUGCCGUAUCCUGAUCCGGUAAGGUUUUCUUUUUGAUUGCCCAUCGGAUCUGGUCCCGCUCCGAUCUUCUAGAGAUUGAGGCGGUCUUCAUUCUCUCUGAACGGAAGAGUGCAGAAAAAGGGGCUCUUCUACUUCUGAGUCUUCUCUCUUGUGGCGAUUUAAAGGUUGCGUCACGGAGACGCACCUCAGCUCCUCUAUAAAAGCGCUGAGACUCUCUUUCCUCCUUCCGCCUCUGCCGUCUCCUGAUCCGGCCGAAAAUGCUAAAUUACCCUCAUCCUGCUGUAUAAUUGUCUCAGGAUUGCUCUGUUGGGCUCUUAUAAAGCAAUGGAUCCAAAUGUUGCACGAGCUGUUGAGUAAUUUCCAACUGGUUUUGGUGAUUUGCUUUUAUUAGUUGAGAUAAAAAAAUAAAACGAAUUAUUAAUUAUUAAUUUGGUUUCGGCAUUUAUAAAAAAAAAAAGUUUGUAUUUGAAAAAUAUUUUUGUAGUUAGACGAGCAAAGAAGAAAAAUGUUUUUGAUAAUAGUUAAAUUCAAAAUUUAAAAUAAAAAAUCACACUCAAUACAUCUUGGUGCUGGAUUCAAAUAUUUUCUUUCGAAAAAAGAAACUUACGUACGUGUAUUAAUAUCGGUGCCUGUGCGCAUUUACAAAAUUUUUACGAGUCUGCUAGAUUCAAAUAAUGUAUCGUUCUUGUUUCUCUCACGCUUUUUGGUUGUAUUUGAGCAAUAAUUUGUCAGAGGCAGCAAGCCAGAUCUGGAAAUAUGGCAAGUUUUUAGAAAUUGGUGCUGCGCGUUUAAUCAUCUUUAACCAACAAGAUCUUAUGCUGGUUUUCAGGUAAUUCUCUUUUGUUUCGCUCCCUUUCAAUCUUCUUUAAGAUCUCAGAAUGGAAGUCCCCAGCUUCCUAUCUCUUAGUCUCCUCUUAAACCUGAAGGUCAUUAUUUUUGGCCCGUCCAACAGUUAUGUUGCAGUCAAGAGAAAGGUUUCCAGGAUAUGCUUGAGAUGCUUGCCUCGUACAAGGAGGGGGUGUGUACCAUGUGGGAACCGUGUUCCCAUAAUCUUGAUUCUGUCCGGUUCCAUCCAAAGUGCAUAAAGAAACCUAGUUCCCACGCUGGAAACUGAUAACAGUGCUCGGUAUUUUAUGUUUAUUACCAGUUAUUGUUAAUUUAUUGCGCGACUUUCAUGGGAGUUGUAUCAAUAUGUCUUGAUCCCUUUUCUUGUUCUUUGAUUUACCGGGACCAUAUUCUGAAAAUAUUGUAAUCGUCGCUCGGUAAGGGUAUGGAUUGCUGGUUCAAGAGGUUUGCAAUAUCUAUUUACACUCGUAUCACUUGGUGCUGGAUUCAUAUGUUUUUCUUCUGUAUUAAAAAGUUACGUAUGUGUAUUAAUAUUGGUACCGAGGGGGCACUGCGCACUUACAAAAUUUUUACAAGUCCGCUGGAUUAAAAUAAUGUGACGUGCUUUGUUCCUCUCGGCGCUUUUUGCUUGUAUUUGAGCAAUCAUUUGUUAGAGGCAGCCAGGCCAGAUCUGAAAAUAUGGCAAGUUUUUAGAAAUUGAUGCUGCGCCUUUUAGUUGCCAACACGUUCUUAUGUUGGUUUUCAGGUAAUUCUCUUUUGUUUCACUCCCUUUUAUUCGUCUUUAAGAUCUCGGAAUGGAAGUCCUCAGCUUCCUUGUCCCCCGCAUCUUUGAGUCUCAUCUUAAAGCUGAAGGUCAUUAUUUUUGGCCUGUCCAGCAGUUUUGUUGUGGUUGAGAGAAAGGUUUAAAGGAUGCAUGAGAUGCUUGCCUCGUACAAGGGUGUCUAUUAUGUGGGAACCGUGUUCCCAAAAUCUUGAUUCCGUCUGGUCCAUAGUCCCUGCAAAGUCAUUCCAUCCAAAGUGCAUAAAGAAACAUAGUUCCCACGUUGGAAACUAAUAGUGUUGUUCCUUUCGACUUUUGUUACCAGUUUAUUUUUUGUUUGAUGUUCGCGGGAGUUGUAUCAGUAUGUCUUGAUCCCUUUUCUUGUUUUUUGAUUUACAGGGACCAUAUUCUGACAAUAUUAUAACGCUCGCUCGGUAAGGGUGUGGAUUGCUGGUUCGAGAGGUACGCGACAUCUCUAUUUACACUCGUAUCACUUGGUGCUGGAUUCAAAUAUUUCUCUUUGGAAGUAAAAGUUACGUAUUUUUUUAAUGUUGGUACCAAAGGGGUACUGCUGCGCAUUACAAAAAUUUCUACAAGUCUGCUAGAUUCAAAUAAUAUUUCUCUCACGCUUUUUGGUUGUAUUUGAGCAAUAAUUUGUCAGAGGCGGCAGGCCAGAUCGGGAAAUAUGGCAACUUUUUAGAAAUUGAUGCUGCGCGUUUACUUUACCAACAAGUUCUUAUGUUGGUUUUCAGGUAAUUCUCUUCCGCCCCGCUCCCUUUUAAUCAUCUUUAAUAUCUCAGCAUGGAAGUCCUCAGCUUCCUUGCCCCCCGGGCCCCACUUCUUUUAGUCUGCUCUUAAAGCUGGAGGUCAUUUUUUUUUGACGUUUGUUGUAGUCAAGAGAAAGGUUUCUAGGAUGCAUGAGAUGCUUGCCUCGUACUAGGGUGUCUUUUAUGUGGGAACCAUGUUCCCGUAAUCUUGGUUCUGUCUAUGGUUCGUAGUCCCAUAUGAACGAGGAUGCUGUGUUCUCGGGAUUUUUAUCUGAUGCGAGAAAGGUCGUCAUUCUUUAUUUCGAAGCCACAUUAGAUUGAUUUUGUGUCCCGGUAAAAGUGCCCUACUUUAUUUUAUUGAAAGUGAGAGUAAAUUGAUUUAUUGUUUCAAAAUAAAUUUGCGUCCGUGUUUAAUGGAAAAUUUUACGAUUUCUUCGGAGAAAGUAGAAUUCCCCAUGUCCUUCGGGUAGUUGGAACUUAAAAAGAAUGUGCUUGGAUCUUCUAACAGCAAGUAAAUAUUUUUGGGCAUUGUUUUAAGGUUCUUGCUUCCUUUGGUAGAAAAUAAUUUUUUAUGGUGUUCCGGUCCUGAAUUAUUGCUCAGAAACUGAAAGCAUGUUUUGUAAAUCUUUUAAAAAAUAAAUGAGCUUGAUGAACAAGAAAAUUUCCCAUUCUUGAGAAAACAAAAAAUGUUCCCUGGUCCCCCGGGUAGCACCAACUGUGAGAAAAUGUGUCUUGAGCAUUUUGAUUCCUAGUAAAUAUGUUUAUGUGUGUCGCUUCGGCAGUGAAAGCUAUCGUGAUGGGCACCCUUUCUCUCUUAGACGUUGCAAUUGGAUUUUCUAGUAUUUGAUAACCAUUUACAAAAGAUAUGUAUGCUCGGUUUUUGGAACUUUCAGAUGUAGUUUAUUGGAGAAAUGUUGUUGGUAUGUGUUUUGAAGCUUCAUUCAUGAAAUAUAGUUGGUGAAGGAUCAUUGUGGGCCGGGUCUCUUGAGUAGAAAACAUUAUUUCUGCAGCCCUUGCAUGCACGAUGAAUGUUUUAUCUGAGAUUCUCGGUCCAAAAUGUAAGAGCUUCAAUUCCAUAUUAACUACAUUUCAGUCCCAAAAUACUAGGGAAGCCAAUAUUUCAUUUUGAAAGUUAAAGGGUGUUGAUGUGUGUUUUGAAGCUUCAUACAUGAAAUAUAGCCGGUGAAGGAUCACUGUUGGCCGGGUCUCUUGAGUAGAAAACAGUAUUUGUGCAGCCCCUGCAUUCACAAUGAAUGUUUUAUUUGAGAUUCUCGGUCCAAAAUGUAAGAGCUUCAAUUCCAUAGUAACUACCUUUUCAGUCCCAAAAUACCAGGAAAGCCAAUAUUUCAUUUUGAAAGUUAAAGGUUGCUGAUGUGUGUUUUGAAGCUUCAUUUAUGAAAUAUAGUUGGUGAAGGAUCAUUAUUGGCCGGGUCUCUUGAGUAGAAAACAUUAUUUCUGCAGCCCGUGCAUUCGAAAUGAAUGCUCUAUUUGAGAUUCUCGGUCCAAAAUGUAAGAGCUUCAAUUCCAUAUUAACUUACUUUCAGGCCACAAAAAUCUAGGACAGGCAAUAUUUCAUUUUGAACGUUAAAGGUUGUUGCUGUGUGUUUUGAAGCUUCAUUUAUGAAAUAUAGUUGGUGAAGGAUCAAAAUUGGCCGGGUCUCUUUGAGUAGAAAACAUUAUUUGUGCAGCCCUUGCAUUCACAAUGAAUGUUUUAUUUGAGAUUCUGGGUCCAAAAUGUAAGAGGUUCAAUUCCAUAUUAACUACCCUUUAGUCCUAGGAAAGGCAAUAUUUCAUUUUGAAAGUGGAAGUUUUUGUCGAUAUUUCAAAACAAACUUAUGUGCCUCGGUGCAUGAGAACGUGAAUCUUGAUUUUUUGUGGCAAAAUGAAACUGCUUGCAACCCUCAAGAUGUACAGCCUCAAAAAGAUGUGGCUUAAAAUCUCAAGCCAAAGUUUGGGUGCGUCGGUUUGAAAGUGAGAGUUUCUUUGAUCACGCACUUUCUUUUGGAGAGUUAGGCGACGUUUCACUUAGUGGUGGCAAUAUGCUCUCCCAAUCUAUUUUUAGCGCGGACAGAAAAAGUUUCGUGCUAGGUUAUGGGAAUCGUCAUUAUACGUGGAAGAGGUUGCCGUUCUUUAUUUUGAAGCCACAUCGAUAAUCUAGUUGCAGCGUUUUUCCUCUGUAGAGGUGCCCCGAUUCGAUAUUUUGAAACCGACACUGUAUUUACUGAUUCUUUUAAAAUAAGUGUGCCCCUCGGUAUUCAAGCAGAAGUUUCUCUGUUUUUUGGGGAAGAGUAAAAUUGCUCUGUUCUCUUGGUUGGUUGGAACAUAGAAAGCAAUAUGUUUGGAUCUUUUGAUUGCAAGUAAAUAUUUUUUCGGCACGUGGUUUUAAAGCUUUUUGGCUUUUGUUAAAGAAUAGUUUUUUUAAAAAAAUAUAUAUACAAAAGAAUAGUUUCCUGUUUUGGAAGUUUCCUGGUUUGGGAAGUAAAUGAGACUCAAUUUAUACUUUAAAACCUAAAAGCUGUUUUUAUGCAUUAUUUAUGGAUAAAUGUGUGACUUGAUGCACAAGAAAAUGAAUUUUGAUUUCUUGGGGCAAUGUAAAUCUGCUUGGGUCUCUCUCGCAGUUCCAAGUUUUAGAAAAACUUGCAUUGACAAAGAUUUGAGGAUAUUGUGACAGCACCACUUCUGACACGGUAACUUGCUUUCAAUAUUUAGUUUACGUAAGGCAUACGAGAUGUGUUUUGAAGGUUUUGAAACCCAUGGUCUGUUGCUGCGAAAAUAUAUCAUUCGGAGUCCCGUAUUCAGAAAGUAAAAGGCCUCGAUUAAUCUUUUCGAAAGCUAGCCUGUCCAUUUAUUUUUUGAAAACGAUUUUUUUUGUUGGUCCCCUGAGCAAAUGUUCCUCAAUUUUUUGGGGCAAUGUGAGAUUUUGCAAAAUGUCCCUUGGAUAAUUCUUUCUCUAGCAAAAUGUCCCUUGAUCUUUUAGUUGGAAGUAACUAUUCUUUGCUAUGUUGGUUUAAUUAAAGUUUCUCUUGAUCUUUUGCUUUCGAAAUAAAUCUGCAGGUGUCCCCACAGGGAAAUUGUAGCAGUUGGAAAAGUAAGUGGAGGUCAAGUAAUUUUUUUAGAAACUGAAGGCGUGUUCUAUCGAUUAUUUUGAAAGAUAAGUGUGCCUUGGUGCAAAAGAAAAUGACUUUGGAUUUGCUGCAGCAAAGCAAAACUUUUUUGAUGCCCUGGGUUUUCGGAACUCUAAAAGUUGUGGUUUGGACUCUUGAUUCAAAGUAAGUGUUUUUGAGAAUACGUUGGUUUAAAGGAAAAGUAACUCUGAUAACAAACACCCUUUCUCUUGGAGAGUUGGCAGCCUUUCUCUACGUAACUGGCAGUGUGCUUUCUCAAUCAUUUUAUUGCUACGGGCGUAAGACAUGAUUGCUCGGUUAAAGGAGAUAUUCAUUUUAUUUGAGAAAGGCCUUCGUUCUUGAUUUGGGAGCCAAUUUAAUGAACUUCAGUAAAAGUGGGCGAAUUCAUUGACUCGCAAAUGAGAGUGCUUUGGUUUAUUGUUUCAAAAUAAAUGUACUUUGACUCCUAGGCAACGGUUUUUUAAAUUUCUCGGGAAAAAGUAAAAUUCAACCCGUCGCUCGGCCAGUUGGAGCUCAAAAAAAGCAUGCAUGUAUGCUGAAUUUGUCUUGGUUCUAAUCAUUGUUCUAAUGUAGGUCUUCAAAAAAUUGACCGAGAAAACUAUUUGAGAGAACCAAACCUUCGAAGUCUAUCGGACCCAAAGUGUAGUAGUCUAACCAAACUUCAGACCUUGUGGGAUCUUUUCUCUGUUUUCCUUUUUUUUUUUAAAGCAAUAUCUGUGGUUAAAAGAGAUUGGUACGUUUAACAUGCAAGGCAACUACGGAGCCUGGCGUAACCGCGUCAAUAUUAUGUUGCUGACUUUUCUUUGCUGUAGGUACUUAGUGGGAAACUUGUUUAAGCGGAAAGAACGGAGUUUGUUCCAGUGGCUAUCUACACAAACAACGUGUGCUACGCGGAAUGUGAGUAUUAUGUUACCCUGGAUUGUCUUGAAAAUAUUUCUCUCGCUUUUACUUUGUUUAAGAAACAUUUGUAGUUGUACAAAAUUAACGUUUAGAACAUGCGAGACGGUUAAAAAGCUACAGAUAACAGGGUAUGCUCAUUUUGCCAGCCUUUCCUUGGUGCAGCAAAUUGGAGCGAGGGUGAAGCCUUCCUAAGUGUAGAGCUACAGAUUGAAGGUUUUUGGACCCUACUUUAUUUAAUUUAAUAGUGGAACUUAUCCUUCUUGGAAAAUAGUAAAAGAGGCAAUCGGACCUGCUUUGUUGUUGUUUACUAGAGACGUGUUACUGAAAGGAACAAAUGAGGUUUCUUCCCAUUGCUGGUUGUGCAGGUGACGAGUGCGGCUGCGUGGCUUCUGAGUGUGAUUUUACUCCGUGUACAUUAUCAGGGAAUGGAGUUUUUACUCUUACCGAGUUUUAUUUUAUAGGGUUGUCGUCCCCGUAUUUGUAUCUGCAAUUUGUGUAGUGUUGGAACGGAAGUUUAUGGCUUGAACUUCCAUUUUGGUGGAUAUUCAACUUGGGAAAUAAGUCAUUUAGCGUGGUCCAGUUCCAGUGGAGUUCAUAGCAACCAUGUUGGCUCUUAACAAGCGGACUGAUCCGUUGAAUUACUUGCAAAUUUUGUGCUUGACUAGGGAUCUUUUGUUGAUAAAUAGAUCUUCCUAAGUGUUGGUUUGUAGUUAAUUUGAUUUUUUACCCACAAGUAGUCUUGUUCUUUUUAUCUUCGGUAUUAAACCCCUUGUUUCCUUGGAGAAGCAGCUGUUUUUGUUUCUAUUCGUGUCGUUUUGUUUACUUAGGCUCCUGUACAGUUUGCAAUUUUUUUUUGGGGCUUCAAAUGAUGAUCCAAUGUAGUGGUAAUUCGUACUGUUUCUGUUGCAAAAUGAGGAGUCAGUAUUCUGCAUAUUAGCAAAUGAUUAUUUAUACUUUGUGAUGCUCUUGGAAGUCCUUUAACCAUGGCUUGAUCCUUGUUCGUGUCUCUCUGAUUUGUGGGCGCGGCUAAAUGAUAUCCUUGGUGCAGGUGAAGUUUGUGAUUGUUAUUUGAAGAGGUACCCAAUAUCUGGCCAUUCUUCGCUGUUGUUUUCUUUCUUGCUACAUGUCAUUUUCACAGGUGCAGCUAUUUUUAUUCCAUAUUCGUCUUAUUGUUGGGCAGUGAUGCGGAGAUUGUGGCGGGGGAAGUGAUGCGGAGGGUAAAGAGAAGGAAGCUGAGAAGGUUGGUGUGGAAUAUCAUCAUCAGCCAAAACCAGGUGAUUUUGUGGUUUCUGGCAACGAAAAUAAGCUCGGUGUGAAUAUUGGAUCAGAAUUGUUGGGCACCAGGUUGACAAAGGGGGUUCUGCCCCAGGGAGAUGUGAUUUGAAAAAUGAUGCAGAGGAGGAGUUCGUGGUUUGUGGGAAGAUGAGAAUUGUCAAGGACUGGGAAGGCCAGUUGUGGAGACUGGGAACUGUCCUUUUUGCUGAGGUUCUUGGCAGAACCCUAACCGGUGAAGCUGUACAGGUGCUUGGUGGAGCAGACAACUCGCCACGCACCCGUCUGUGUGGAUUUGUCAGAGAAGGAAUAGAAAUUGAAAGGAAAAUUUGUAAGUAUUAUUUACGAGGAUUAAGAGAAUAAAUAAUUUAAAAUUAGAUAACAGUUUAAAAAAUUUUAAUAGAAUAUAUUUGUAGAUAUAAAUUUUUUUUAAUAAUACGCGUAUUAUUUAAUAAAUUUUUUAGAAAAAAGAAUUAUUAAAAAUUGUAUUGUAAUUAAGAGUGUUUAUUUUAUUGUGGUUUUUUAUUAUAAUAUUUGUAUUUAGAAAAAAUAUUUUUGUCGUUGGGUGAGUAAAAUAUAAAAUGUUUUUGAUAAUAGUUAAAUUGAAAAUUUAUUUUUUUAUAAAUUUAAAAUAAAAAAUUACAAAAGUAACAUGAAUUUUUAUUAAAAAUAAAUGUUAUUAUUAUUGUAUAAAUAAUAACAUAUUUUCACAAUUAUUUAUAAAAAUAUUUUUAAUGGAAAACUCAGUAAGGCAAUAAAAAAAAUAUUAUCUUUUUAAUUUUCUCUCUCUGCCGCUCUUCAUCUUCGGUCUCUGGUUUUCCUUUUUUCUACCCGAGGUUCCGCGUGUUUAUAAAGCACGUAGGUUGCGUCGCGGAGACGCAGCUCAGCUCCUCUAUAAAAGUGCUGAGACUUUCUUUCCUCCUUCCGCCUCUGCUGUCUCCUGAUCCGGUAAGGUUUUCUUCUGAUUGCCCAUUAGAUCUGGUCCCGCUCCGAUCUUCUAGAGAUUGGAGGCGGUCUUCAUUCUCUCUGAACGGAAGAGUGCAGAAAAUAGGGCUCUUCUGCUUCCGAGUCUUCUCUCUUGUGGCGAUUUAGAGGUUGCGUCACGGAGACGCAGCUCAGCUCCUCUAUAAAAGCGCUGAGACUCUCUUUCCUCCUUCCGCCUCUGCCGUCUCCUGAUCCGGUAAGGUUUUCUUUUUGAUUGCCCAUUAGAUCUGGUCCCGCUCCGAUCUUCUAGAGAUUGGAGGCGGUCUUCAUUCUCUCUGAACAGAAGAGUGCAGAAAAUAGGGCUCUUCUACUUCGGAGUCUUCUCUUUUGCGGCGAUUUAGAGGUUGCGUCGCGGAGAGGCAGCUCAGCUCCUCUAUAAAAGCGCUGAGACUCUCUUUCCCCCUUCCGCCUCUUCUGUCUCCUGAUCCGGUAAGGUUUUCUUUCGAUUGCCCAUUAGAUCUGGUCCCGCUCCGAUCUUCUAGAGAUUGGAGGCGGUCUUCAUUUUUUCUGAACGGAAGAGUGCAGAAAUUGGGGCUCUUCUACUUCCGAGUCUUCUCUCUUGCGGCGAUUUAGAGGUUGCGUCACGGAGACGCAGCUCAGCUCCUCUAUAAAAGCGCUGAGACUCUCUUUCCUCCUUCCGCCUCUGCCGUCUCCUGAUCCGCUAAGGUUUUCUUUUUGAUUGCCCAUUAGAUCUGGUCCCGCUCCGAUCUUCUAGAGAUUGGAGGCGGUCUUCAUUCUCUCUGAACGGAAGAGUGCAGAAAAUAGGGCUCUUCUACUUCCGAGUCUUCUCUCUUGCGGCGAUUUAGAGGUUGCGUCACGGAGACGCAGCUCAGCUCCUCUAUAAAAGCGCUGAGACUCUCUUUCCUCCUUCCGCCUCUGCCGUCUCCUGAUCCGCUAAGGUUUUCUUUUUGAUUGCCCAUUAGAUCUGGUCCCGCUCCGAUCUUCUAGAGAUUGGAGGCGGUCUUCAUUCUCUCUGAACGGAAGAGUGCAGAAAAUGGGGCUCUUCUACUCCUGAGUCUUCUCUCUUGUGGCGAUUUAGGGUUUUCCUCAGCUUCUUCUAGGUUCUAAUCGGUGAAGAGAGACGGAAGAACAGAGUUGAAGAGGGUAGGUGAAAGGAAGAGACAAUAAUUUGUAAGAGGUAUGUAUGUGUUAAUUUCUCUUAUGGAUUUGUGAGGAAUGUAUGCCUAAACGAUAAAGAGUUCCACCCGGAAAGUUUUCUGUGUUGUUCACAGUUUUGUCACCGAAGCACUAAAAUAUUUUACAAAGAGGAAAAACUCUCUCAGUGUUACGUUUAUUACCCGUUAUUGUUGAUUUACUGUGCGAUGUUCGUGGGAGCUGUAUCGAUGUGUCUUGAUCCCUCUUGUUUUUCCCUGAUUUACAGGGACCACAGUCUGACAAUAUUGUAAUCCUCGUUGAGUAAGGGUAUGGAUUGCUGGUUCAAGAGGGUAUGCAAUAUCUGUUUACACUCACACCUCUUGGUGCGGGUUCAAGAGGUAUGCUUGCCUCGAACAUGUGGUUGAACGGUAUCUUGGCCCAUUUUGAUGCUUUGAAAUGUUUAAUUUAAAUUUUACUACAUCCCUUCAGGGGUCAUAAAAUGAAGGGUAAAUGCAAAAAUAAAACCAAAUAUAAGGUGGAGGUUUUUAGAUUUUCGACUGAAUCACAAUUGAGUUGUUGGGUUUAACAAAAUUAUAAUUCAAUUUAGCCAAGUGUGAUCGGCUGAAAAUGCUAAAUUACCCUCAGCCUGCUGUGUAAUUGUUUCAGUAUUACUCUGUUGGGCUCUUAUAAAGCAAUGGAUCCAAAUGUUGC
rnacentral:lncRNA from 1 species